rnacentral:rRNA from 1 species
AGCAGCCGCGGUAAUUCCAGCUCCAAUAGCGUAUAUUAAAGUUGUUGCAGUUAAAAAGCUCGUAGUUGGAUCUGCGGCCUUGAAGGACGGUCUCCCGAAAGGGUAGUCACUGUCUCUCCUAGCCUAAAUUCGAGUCGUCUCUAGGUGCUCUUUACCGGGUGCUUAGAGUGACUAGAACGUUUACUUUGAAAAAAU